rnacentral:rRNA from 1 species
UACAGAGGUCUCAAGUGUUGUUCGGAUUCAUUGGGCGUAAAGGGUGCGUAGGCGGCGCGGUAAGUCGGGUGUGAAAUCUUGGAGCUUAACUCCGAAACUGCAUUCGAUACUGCCGUGCUUGAGGACUGGAGAGGAGACUGGAAUUUACGGUGUAGCGGUGAAAUGCGUAGAUAUCGUAAGGAAGACCAGUGGCGAAGGCGGGUCUCUGGACAGUUCCUGACACUGAGACACGAAGGCCAGGGGAGCAAACGGG